rnacentral:rRNA from 1 species
AAACCAGCACCUCAAGUGGUCAGGAUGAUUAUUGGGCCUAAAGCAUCCGUAGCCGGCUCUGUAAGUUUUCGGUUAAAUCCAUACGCUUAACGUAUGGGCUGCCGGAAAUACUACAAAGCUAGGGAGUGGGAGAGGUAGACGGUACUCGGGAGGAAGUGGUAAAAUGCUUUGAUCUCUCGAUGACCACCUGUGGCGAAGGCGGUCUACCAGAACACGUCCGACGGUGAGGGAUGAAAGCUGGGGGAGCAAACCGGAUUAGAAACCCGAGUAGUCC